CCUAGCCAAAUCAAAAAUGUUAGUAGGGGUAUCUGGCUGUGGUCCUCUCUGCUGUAGGACAGUCAAUUUGGCCUCAUCUCAUCUUGAAAUAUGUCGAGUCUAUCAGAGAGAGCUCUUACCUCAGUACUUACUCUGCUCAAAAUCAUAUCAGGCAGUCUCUCAAGUGUGGCAGAAUCAAAGGUCUUUGGUUGAGGGGCUGGAGUCAUA
rnacentral:lncRNA from 1 species